rnacentral:rRNA from 1 species
CAUGCAAGUCGAACGCAGUAGCAAUACUGAGUGGCAGACGGGUGAGUAUAAUGUGGGAAUCUGCCUUUUGGUUUGGAAUAACUCGGGGAAACCUGAGCUAAUACUGGAUAAGCCCUUACGGGGAAAGCUUUAUGCGCCAAAAGAUGAGCCCGCACUUGAUUAGCUUGUUGGUGAGGUAAAAGCUCACCAAGGCAACGAUCAAUAGCUGUUCUUAGAGGAAGACCAGCCACAUUGGGACUGAGACACGGCCCAGACUCCUACGGGAGGCAGCAGUAAGGAAUCUUGCACAAUGGGGGAAACCCUGAUGCAGCGAUGCCGCGUGAGUGAAGAAGGCCUUUGGGUUGUAAAACUCUUUCGUCGGGGAAGAAAAUGACUGUACCCGAAUAAGAAGGUCCGG